AUUGAACGCUAGCGGGAUGCCUUACACAUGCAAGUCGAACGGCAGCGGGAAAGUAGCUUGCUACUUUUGCCGGCGAGUGGCGAACGGGUGAGUAAUGUAUCGGAACGUGCCCAGUAGCGGGGGAUAACUACGCGAAAGCGUGGCUAAUACCGCAUACGCCCUACGGGGGAAAGGGGGGGAUCUUAGGACCUCUCACUAUUGGAGCGGCCGAUAUCGGAUUAGCUAGUUGGUGGGGUAAAGGCCUACCAAGGCGACGAUCCGUAGCUGGUUUGAGAGGACGACCAGCCACACUGGGACUGAGACACGGCCCAGACUCCUACGGGAGGCAGCAGUGGGGAAUUUUGGACAAUGGGGGAAACCCUGAUCCAGCCAUCCCGCGUGUGCGAUGAAGGCCUUCGGGUUGUAAAGCACUUUUGUCAGGGAAGAAAAGGUUUCGGAUAAUACCCGGAACUGAUGACGGUACCUGAAGAAUAAGCACCGGCUAACUACGUGCCAGCAGCCGCGGUAAUACGUAGGGUGCAAGCGUUAAUCGGAAUUACUGGGCGUAAAGCGUGCGCAGGCGGUUCGGAAAGAAAGAUGUGAAAUCCCAGGGCUCAACCUUGGAACUGCAUUUUUAACUACCGAACUAGAGUAUGUCAGANGGGGGUGGAAUUCCACGUGUAGCAGUGAAUGCGUAGAUAUGUGGAGGAACACCGAUGGCGAARGCAGCCCCCUGGGAUAAUACUGACGCUCAUGCACGAAAGCGUGGGGAGCAAACARGAUUAGAUACCCUGGUAGUCCACGCCCUAAACGAUGUCAACUAGCUGUUGGGCCCUUCGGGGCUUAGUAGCGCAGCUAACGCGUGAAGUUGACCGCCUGGGGAGUACGGKCGCAGAUUAAAACUCAAAGGAAUUGACGGGGACCC
rnacentral:rRNA from 1 species